CAUGCAAGUCGAACGGAAAGGCCCUUCGGGGUACUCGAGUGGCGAACGGGUGAGUAACACGUGGGUGAUCUGCCCUGCACUUUGGGAUAAGCCUGGGAAACUGGGUCUAAUACCGGAUAUGAUCAUCGGCUUCAUGGUCGGUGGUGGAAAGCUUUUGCGGUGUGGGAUGGGCCCGCGGCCUAUCAGCUUGUUGGUGGGGUAAUGGCCUACCAAGGCGAUGACGGGUAGCCGGCCUGAGAGGGUGUCCGGCCACACUGGGACUGAGAUACGGCCCAGACUCCUACGGGAGGCAGCAGUGGGGAAUAUUGCACAAUGGGCGCAAGCCUGAUGCAGCGACGCCGCGUGAGGGAUGACGGCCUUCGGGUUGUAAACCUCUUUCAGUAGGGACGAAGCGCAAGUGACGGUACCUAUAGAAGAAGGACCGGCCAACUACGUGCCAGCAGCCGCGGUAAUACGUAGGGUCCGAGCGUUGUCCGGAAUUACUGGGCGUAAAGAGCUCGUAGGUGGUUUGUCGCGUUGUUCGUGAAAACUCACA
rnacentral:rRNA from 1 species